UACGUAGGGACCAAGCGUUGUUCGGAUUUACUGGGCGAAAGGGCGCGUAGGCGGCAAUUCAAGUCAUCUGUGAAAUCUCCGGGCUUAACCCGGAACGGUCAGAUGAUACUGCUUUGCUAGAGUGCGGAAGGGGCAAUCGGAAUUCUUGGUGUAGCGGUGAAAUGCGUAGAUAUCAAGAGGAACACCUGAGGUGAAGACGGGUUGCUGGGCCGACACUGACGCUGACAGCGCGAAAGCCAGGGGAGCAAACGGG
rnacentral:rRNA from 1 species